rnacentral:lncRNA from 1 species
CUUCGAUGUUUCCAAACCCCUCCAGGAAUACAGUAGCUGGGCGGUAAUCAUUUCUCAGCACCUGAUUUAAGAAUGUCUGUUGCUGGGUCAUGAGCUUGUUCCAUUCUGUUGUGUAUGCAGAAUCACAGGUGUAGUCGGUGAGCUUCUCCAUUUCUACAACCUCUGUUAUCCAACUCAUCGAUCGAUCUUUCAUCCCUUCGACGACGCUUUUCCCUGCUCGUCUGAUGGGCUGCUGGAGCUGUGGAUAGUGUUCAGAAUGCUGCAUCAACACGGCAAGGACAAUGACCUGAAU